UAGUUCUACACCUGUGGGGGUUGGGGGCAGGGCAGGGUGCUGCACUCACCUCACAGCAGUGCCCUGUGGGUGGGGCCGUGUCCAGCUCACAGUCCCCCAUCUCUCCUAGGCCCUGGAGGUGGCCCUGUUGCUGGGCCUGAUGGGCCAAGCGGUGGCAGAGCGGGCGCGCCUGGUGCUGUAUGGCCGCGGCCCCUGGGAGGAGGUGCAGGCGCUGGCCGGGUCGCUGCUGGAGAACGUCCAGAGCCUGCACCAGCAGGUCCAGGUGAGAGCCCCUCCUGUCCCUACUCACUCACUCUCCCCCAGCCCAGCCUGGCUCCGCGUCUCACCCCAUCUCUUCCCCAGGCCACAAUGGAGCCGAGCAGCGGCUCCAGCACCGUCAGCGACGUCCUCUGGGACCUGGUGGCUCGUGGGGAGCCGGUGGACACCCUGCUCGUGCUAAGCCCCAGCUCAGAGGCCCUCCUGGCCGGCCCUGCCCUGCGGCUGGUGCGGGAUCGUGUUGCCCCCCACUGCCUCUUCGUGAACCUCUGCCUGGAGUCCUGGGGGUAUGAACCCGCCCCACU
rnacentral:lncRNA from 1 species